GUCAGCGGAAUCAGCCAAGCCAAUGUUCUUGGGUGAAGCAGUUUCAAAGGGGAUCAUCAACAAUGAGACUCUUGGUUACUUUAUUGGGAGGGUGUACCUUUUCCUGACACAUGUUGGUAUCGACAAACAUCGAUUGCGCUUCCGGCAGCAUCUGCCGAAUGAGAUGGCUCACUAUGCUGCGGAUUGUUGGGAUGCUGAGAUAGAGUGUUCCUAUGGCUGGAUUGAGUGUGUUGGGAUUGCUGAUAGAUCUGCUUAUGAUUUGCGUGCUCAUACGGAGAAGAGUGGUGUUGCUCUGGUUGCUCAUGAGAAGUUCGCAGAACCUAAGGAGGUUGAGAAACUUGUUGUAACUCCAUCAAAGAAGGACCUGGGUCUUGCAUUUAAGGGUAGCCAAAAGAUGGUGGUUGAAGCAUUGGAGGCAAUGAGUGAAUCUGAAGCCCUUGAAAUGCAAGCUGCUCUUGAUUCGACUGGGGAGGUGGAAUUUAAUGUCUGCACUCUUGGUAAAUCUGUUACUAUAAAGAAAAACA
rnacentral:misc_RNA from 1 species